rnacentral:rRNA from 1 species
GAUGAACGCUGGCGGCGUGCCUAAUACAUGCAAGUCGAGCGAACAGAUGAGGAGCUUGCUCCUUUGACGUUAGCGGCGGACGGGUGAGUAACACGUGGGUAACCUACCUAUAAGACUGGGAUAACUUCGGGAAACCGGAGCUAAUACCGGGUAAUAUUUCGAACCGCAUGGUUCGAUAGUGAAAGAUGGCUUUGCUAUCACUUAUAGAUGGACCUGCGCCGUAUUAGCUAGUUGGUAAGGUAACGGCUUACCAAGGCAACGAUACGUAGCCGACCUGAGAGGGUGAUCGGCCACACUGGAACUGAGACACGGUCCAGACUCCUACGGGAGGCAGCAGUAGGGAAUCUUCCGCAAUGGGCAAAAGCCUGACGGAGCAACGCCGCGUGAGUGAUGAAGGUCUUCGGAUCGUAAAACUCUGUUAUUAGGGAAGAACAAACGUGUAAGUAACUGUGCACGUCUUGACGGUACCUAAUCAGAAAGCCACGGCUAACUACGUGCCAGCAGCCGCGGUAAUACGUAGGUGGCAAGCGUUAUCCGGAAUUAUUGGGCGUAAAGCGCGCGUAGGCGGUUUUUUAAGUCUGAUGUGAAAGCCCACGGGCUCAACCGUGGAGGGUCAUUGGAAACUGGAAAACUUGAGUGCAGAAGAGGAAAGUGGAAUUCCAUGUGUAGCGGUGAAAUGCGCAGAGAUAUGGAGGAACACCAGUGGCGAAGGCGACUUUCUGGUCUGUAACUGACGCUGAUGUGCGAAAGCGUGGGGAUCAAACAGGAUUAGAUACCCUGGUAGUCCACGCCGUAAACGAUGAGUGCUAAGUGUUAGGGGGUUUCCGCCCCUUAGUGCUGCAGCUAACGCAUUAAGCACUCCGCCUGGGGAGUACGACCGCAAGGUUGAAACUCAAAGGAAUUGACGGGGACCCGCACAAGCGGUGGAGCAUGUGGUUUAAUUCGAAGCAACGCGAAGAACCUUACCAAAUCUUGACAUCCUUUGACCCUUCUAGAGAUAGAAGUUUCCCCUUCGGGGGACAAAGUGACAGGUGGUGCAUGGUUGUCGUCAGCUCGUGUCGUGAGAUGUUGGGUUAAGUCCCGCAACGAGCGCAACCCUUAAGCUUAGUUGCCAUCAUUAAGUUGGGCACUCUAAGUUGACUGCCGGUGACAAACCGGAGGAAGGUGGGGAUGACGUCAAAUCAUCAUGCCCCUUAUGAUUUGGGCUACACACGUGCUACAAUGGACAAUACAAAGGGCAGCGAAACCGCGAGGUCAAGCAAAUCCCAUAAAGUUGUUCUCAGUUCGGAUUGUAGUCUGCAACUCGACUACAUGAAGCUGGAAUCGCUAGUAAUCGUAGAUCAGCAUGCUACGGUGAAUACGUUCCCGGGUCU